rnacentral:rRNA from 1 species
GCUCAGGACGAACGCCAGCGGCGUGCCUAAUGUAUGCAAGUCGAGCGGGGAAGAGACUUCGGUCUCUUUCUAGCGGCAAACGGUUGAGUAACACGUAGGCAACCUGCCCCAGAGACGGGGAUAGCCCGCCGAAAGGCGGCGUAAUACCGGAUGUGGCGCGAGGCGACAUCGCCUCGCUGCUAAAGGGAGCAAUCCGCUCUGGGAGGGGCCUGCGGCCUAUCAGCUUGUUGGCGAGGUAACGGCUCACCAAGGCGACGACGGGUAGCUGGUCUGAGAGGAUGGUCAGCCAGACAGGGACUGAGACACGGCCCUGACUCCUUCGGGGGGCAGCACUGAGGGAUAUUGCACAAUGGGGGAAACCCUGAUGCAGCGACGCCGCGUGGGUGAUGAAGUCUUUCGGGAUGUAAAGCCCUUUUCUCGGGGAAGAGAACGGACGGUACCCGAGGAAUAAGCCCCGGCUAAAUACGUCCCAGCAGCCGCGGUAAUAAGUAGGGGGCCAGCGUUGUCUGGAUUUACCGGGCGUAAAGCGCGUGUCGGCGGGACGGACAGUCCGACGUGAAAGGCUCCGGCUCAACCGGAGACGGCUGUUGGAAACUGCCGUUCUUGAGGACCGAAGAGGAGAGUGGAAUUCCCGGUGUAGCGUUGAAAUGCGUAGAGAUCGGGAGGAACACCCGUGGCGAAGGCGGCUCUAUGGUCGGUCCCUGACGAUGAGACGCGAAAGCGUGGGGAGCGAACGGGAUUAGAUACCCCGGUAGUCCACGCCGUAAACGAUGGUCACUAGGUGUAUGCGGUAUCGACCCCGCAUGGGCCGCAGCUAACGCAAUAAGUGACCC